GAGAACUGUGAUUAAUGUCCCUUCCCUGUUUGAGAGUGGUGGUCCAAAGAUUAAUGAAGUCAGAAUCCCUUGGAGAUAACAUGACAAAAGAAGGGUCAGGAUGGUGGUGGAGUAAAAGAAGGGUCAGGAUGGUGGUGGAGUUGGAAACAGUAUUGUUUGAGGACCAGUUGAGAAAGCUGCAUGAUGGAGCAGCUUGAAGAGGCUACAAUUAGGACCAAUGGGUGGAACUUCAAGGGAGGCAAAUGCAAAUGUAAUCUCAAGGAAUGGUAGAACUUUUCAACAGAGUUG